rnacentral:rRNA from 1 species
UGAAGCUCCUUCGGGAGUGGAUUAGCGGCGGACGGGUGAGUAACACGUGGGUAACCUGCCUCAUAGAGGGGAAUAGCCUUUCGAAAGGAAGAUUAAUACCGCAUAAGAUUGUAGUACCGCAUGGUACAGCAAUUAAAGGAGUAAUCCGCUAUGAGAUGGACCCGCGUCGCAUUAGCUAGUUGGUGAGGUAACGGCUCACCAAGGCGACGAUGCGUAGCCCGACCUGAGAGGGUGAUCGGCCACAUUGGGACUGAGACACGGCCCAGACUCC